UUCGCUGUUGUCUGGUUCCACUGUUACGUCUUGGAUUUUUUUAUCCAUUAAGUUAUUGCCGAGUGUAUAAAAAAUAAAUUCACAAAUAAAUUGUUAAAGCUACCGAAAACUUAUUUUAAAUCAAUAAGUACGCAAUUAGUUUUAAGCACACAACAAUCAUCUUAACAAAUCAAUAGUAAUAUUUAUUAUUUUUAUUUCUACUUAAUAAUAAAAUAAAGUCUUCCUUAUAAAGGUUGACAUUAUUUCACUUUCUAAGAGAUAAACAACGGUGCUAAUUCGGUCGUACACAAAUACUUUAACGGGUUUACAAAAAGUGCUAACCUUUAUUGAAUUGUGGCAACACUGUUGUACACAAUCUCAUAACUAGAAUGGCAUAACACUUCCAUUGGAAAAGGAUAGCAGAAGAUUUAGACCUGUCAAUUUAGUUUAGUUUAGAGAUGUGUACAACAGAAUUAACCACAAUGUUCACUGUCAAAACGAUGACACUACUUUGUCUAUUAAGCAUGUAGCUUCAGCUGCCGUUUUGUAACGAUAGUCUGGUCACUAUCUUCGUUGGAAGUGAUGAUUUUAUUCCAAGAUUGAAUACUUUGCUUACAGUGUAACCUGCAAGUGUUUUUAUAUAUUUUGUACAGAUUCACUCUCACGCUAUAGAAAAUCUAGAUUAAACAUCCAUUGCCAUAAGAAUCCCAUUUUGAUCCUAUGCUAGACUUAACCAUACUACAGUAGUACAAAAGUAUCUGUACAGAUAUUUAGAACUUUUGUAAAUGUUUGAAUGUCAACAUAUAUAAAUCUUAUGGCUAAUAAAUUUAGUAAAAUAUAAAUAAUUAUGUAUUCUAAUUAAGUAAAACAAUAUCUAUUAUUAUAGCUUAAACACAAAAUAAGUAACGGGCGGUAUGGAUUGGUAACUACGUAUGUACAAUCAUUGCCACAAAAAAUAAUUUUAGUUAUAACAGUUAUGUACUGGAGAUUGAUUUAAAAUUCUGAAACUCUGAAAAAUUUGUUUCUAUGAAUUUUGAAUCAGUCUCCAGCAUUAAUUGAGGCCCUCUCAAACGGACAAUGAAUAAUUUAUCUUUAAUUUGGAACAUAAAUGUAUUGCAAGUUGUAAGGAGUGAUGAGUUUUACACAAAUAAAUUAUACAUAUUCCGUAUGGUAAUAAUAUUUAAGGUUAUACUUGCUUACUGUCGAAAUUAAAAUAAUCAACCUGUCUGUAAUCUGUAGAUAAGUGACUUAGCAACACAGUUAAUUGUCAAAAAAGACCAUACUAUAUUUGAUAGAUAACAAUGUUACCAAGUAACCUAUUGACAGAUCACUGCUAGGAUUGAUUAGUAUUAUUAAUAUUAGUUUGCAAUGUGUAUUUCAGUCAGUCUGUGAGGGCUUAAUUAAAGAAUAUAAUUAUAGUAAGUUACAGUAAUUAACAAAGCAUUUAUCAGAAAUUUAUAUUUACAAUAUUCGAUUUGUUUACAUCAUAAUUUAUUAAUAAAAUAAUAAAUCGGCCAACACCUAUAUACAUCGCUAUUUUGUUUUUAAAACGCCUAAGCUCAGCAUGUUUGAAUGCAGAAUGGUUUCCAAUUCGGUUGUACAUAUUAACAAGGCAGUGCUAUCUUUCUUAUAAAAAUGUAAGUAUGCGCAAAAGGAUAAACACUUAUUAUAGACCUUUCAAUUUACUCUAGAUAUUUAUGAAUAAUUGAAUGGUUAAUUCGGGUGUGCGAACGCCCGAAAUUAAUAAAGUCAAUCUGUCUGUAAUCUCGAUAAGUUAUCUUAUAGUUACUUGUAAAAGAAUACCACAAUUUUUUUGACAAAAUAUAACAAAGUUGCUUAUUUAUCGCAAAUUGCAGAGACUGAUUACUAAUUUUGGCCGUAAAUCUCUGAGCUUAACUAAAUUGACAGGUCAAAUAAAGUUAUGUCCUUUUAACAAUGCUCUGUGUGGAGAAGAAAAAGGUAGCAGUUCUAGACCUUCAAUUUAGUUUAAAAAAUUCGUGUUCAACCAAAUUAGCGUAAUAAUAAUACAAGUAUCUGAUGUCCACAUACUUUCUUUAUACUUGCCCACAUAUCAGAAUUUUUCUCAUAACAUUCAGCAAAUAUACUUAUAAAAACAUGUUUAUGUUUACUUAUUUUCGGUACAAGUACUUAUUUAAAAAAGAUCAGUAAACGAUAUAACAAUGCAUCUUUGUAAAAAUUCUUUGUAAAAAAUGUUUUAACUGACAUCUUAUUAUGAAAAUAAUAUCUUUCAUAAACUUUUUAAUGAAACAAGACUCAUACUAUUCCAUAUAAUAAACUGAAAAAUUACAAGCUGAAACUUUUUGCCCUGUCUACAAUCUACAUGUCUGUAAAAGAUCCACAUCUUUUAGAUGUCAACAGAUUACAAUUUGAUCACUGCUUAGCCAAAGUGUUUGAUAUAAAAAUCACUCAUUUUUAUGGCUAGUUAGAGCUUUUGUUAAGAAUAUGUUGUUAUAAAAGGCAAUCAAAACUUUUAAUGCAAAAUAUUUUAUGAUUUAUUAUUGUCUACUUAUUUUAACUUGUACAACCUUUAAAUGCUUGUCAUCACAUUUUAAACGACCAAAUACUGAAAAAAUAUAAGAAACAAUACAACACAACACUCUAAAGAUGUUUUACAUAUUUUGUUGUAUGGACAAAAUGACAAAAAUCAGACCAUAUCAAUGAUGUCCUUAAACUGGUUCAGUACUCGGCCGUAUAUAACUUAACUGGUCAGAUUUCCUAAUGGUCUAGUUUUAUCAUCAAGAGUUGAAUGCUUUUAUUACAGAACAAAAUAAUGUCAAAUAUAACAUAAUUCACUCAUAACUGCUCUCAACGUCAAUGUUGACAGAUAGCGUGAGUGUUAGAAGUGUCAAAUGAUGAGACCAAAUUCAUUUAUAGAAUGGUUAAGAGGUAGGUACGUUUGUGAAAGUGAUCAUUUUGCAUUAAAAGCGAAAACACGUUGAAUGUAGACAGAGCACUUUAUUCUUUUUGUUGGUAGUCUUAGGACUUAGAAUGUCAUAGUUAUCAUCAUCACUGGCCUAGAUCGCUACACAGAUGCUACACGACACCACUCUACAAAAACUUACGACACAAGUUUAACGUGUUUACCGACUGCGCACGAAUAUUUUACCUGAAGAAUGAAUUGACGGUAACUGAACGCACUCAUCAUAUGGCAAGUAAAACACCUUUUUCAGUAUCGAGUCCACGCUCGUGGCUGCUAGUGCUGGUCGGUGCUGGCUAGUUGACGAGCACCGCCCUUGGCCAUGCCGUAGAAGACAGAUCCCUUGUCCUGCAGCAGCUGCUCAGGCGACGCGCACUGCAUGAGCUGGUAGCGGUUGAGUCCACGUUUGUGGCGGCUAGUACUGGUCGGUGCUGGCUAGUUGACGAGGCCGGCGUCCUUGGCCAUGCCGUAGAAGACGGAGUUCUUGUCCUGCAGCAGCUGGUCGGGCGGCGCGUACUCCACGAGUUGGCCGCGGUCGAGCACCAUGACUCUGGUCGACUAGUUGACUUAG